UCUCCUGUAGUCCAGUGGUAGAGCGUCCGACCGCUGGGUGGAAGGUCAUAGGUUCAACCCCUGUUGGGGUAA